rnacentral:misc_RNA from 1 species
AAUAAAAGAAGAGCUGUGUCACAAGUUACAAGAAAGUGCUAAAGAAAAGGACAGGCUCAUCAAAACGCUAAUUCAAAAGCUUCAAGCCACAGAAGAAGAGUUGAAAGAAGCUAAAAUAACACAUGAAGACCGUAUGAGUAAAGCAAUAAAUGACAAUGUAAGCAAAGACAGUCAGAUUGCCCAAUUAGUGAAAAAAGUCAAAAUCUACAAGAAAAGCUUACUAAGAAAGAAGCAGAGGUGGAAGUAGUCAAAUCACAUGCAGUUCACAUGAGUACAGAGCUGACCGAAAAAGACAGAGAGAUUGCCAUGCUAAUAAGCAAAAUCACUUCAUUAGAAGAAACGCUACAACGACAGAUACAAGAGGCAAAGGAGAAGUUGGAAGAGGAACAACAAAUAUGCAGAG